rnacentral:rRNA from 1 species
AAUAGAUACCCGGGUAGCCCACCCCGUAAACGUUGGGAACUAGUUGUGGGGUCCAUUCCACGGAUUCCGUGACGCAGCUAACGCAUUAAGUUCCCCGCCUGGGGAGUACGGCCGCAAGGCUAAAACUCAAAGGAAUUGACGGGGACCCGCACAAGCGGCGGAGCAUGCGGAUUAAUUCGAUGCAACGCGAAGAACCUUACCAAGGCUUGACAUAUAGAGGAAACGGCUGGAAACAGUCGCCCCGCAAGGUCUCCAUACAGGUGGUGCAUGGUUGUCGUCAGCUCGUGUCGUGAGAUGUUGGGUUAAGUCCCGCAACGAGCGCAACCCUCGUUCUAAUGUUGCCAGCACGUAAUGGUGGGAACUCAUGGGGUACUGCCGGGGUCAACUCGGAGGAAGGUGGGAUGACGUCAAAUCAUCAUGCCCCUUAUGUCUUGGGCUUCACGCAUGCUACAAUGGCCGGUACAAAGGGCUGCAAUACCGUAAGGUGGAGCGAAUCCCAAAAAAGCCGGUCCCAGUUCGGAUUGAGGUCUGCAACUCGACCUCAUG